UUAACAGAUACAGAUACAGAUACAGAUAAUGCUGUACUCGCUCAUCCCUAGUUGUUGUCAUAAUGUGCGGGACUAGAACGAUUAUUCAUUACCAGCCCUAGUUGGGGAAAUGUGUCCUUGUAUCCUUGUAUGCAUGACAGUAGUGAAUAACAUUGCUGCUUUUGGUGUUCAGGCAAGCACAUCUGUUCACGGUGCUAGGCUACAUCACGUAGCAUGCCAGACGGACCCACCACAGAUGCGCACACAUGGAACGCAGCUUUCUAUGAAAACACUGCGACCUCACUACAAAAGUACAGGCACACAGAAAACUGUGCUGCACUGAUGUUGGUGUUGGGACCUCAGCUGUAAGAGACCUCGCUUGGAGGAGGGAGAGGACAACCCAAGUUGUUCAAGUAUGGACUUCGGAGAGCCACAGGAUGCUACCUAUGAUCCUGAUGACUCAAUCACAGUCUUGACUGAGUCAGCAGAUGUGACAUUACGUGGAUAACCUGUUGGAUCUCAUCUUUCACGAGGUUUUUCAGGACUCGGCCCCAUAUGUGAAUGAGGUGCUGAAGAUCUCAAAACCUGAGGACCUCUCUGCUAAGUAUGAGAAACCUGACAAGCAGGAAGUUAUAGCCAGCUAUGUGUCAAAUUUCAAUCAAGGGCAGGUCUGAACCCUGUAUAACUUCCCUGAGCAUCAGGGAACACUCUGCGUAUCUGGAGCACCGAGCAGGAGGGCAGGACCACCCUGAUUCUCCGGCCCAGAGGGCCCCAACAACAGCUAACAAAGCUUCUCUACGACAAAUACCUGUAAUGGCUGAGCAAAGUUUACAUUGUAUUUAGAGAAUAAAGGUGACACACAAAUAUAAAGUGUUCCUUUGUUUAGAGUAUGGCUACUGAUGGCACAAAUUGUAUUUUUGUAAUAAAUGUUUUCAUUAUACUUGGUAUUUUUUGUAUUUAUUACCUCUGUCCCAGCCAGUACAUUUAAUAACUAUUUUUAAAAAGC